GGAAGUCGCCGGUAAACACAAAUGGCGGCGACUCCAGCUGAGAGUAAAGUUAAUAUGUUUGAGCUGGAGUCUGACCUCGAGACGGACACAGCUUCAGAAAACCAGCCGCCCACUCGCGGCCGGUGACGACAGGAUGUUUCAGAGCGGUGCUCCUGUGGUUAUUGUGCCAUGAUGCCAACAGAAAGAGAGAAUGUGCUGCAGGGAGACACACAAGAUGUACAUUUGCGAUUUCACCAUGGACCUCACACUUGAGCGGAGACUAAACAUCAAAUUCUGUGAGAAACCUCAUGUGGAGCACCAUCACUGGUGACUAGAGUUUGGACGGCAGCUGCGACUUAGAGAUCAUGCAGCAAACCUUCACAAUGGAACUACCCACAGUCAGGUUGUUUGUGCCAAAUGUCCAUCAUCAGAUGCCAAAGAACCCAGUGCACAACCCCGGAAACGUCAAAGAAAACCGCAGACUUGCUCUUGGUUGUACUGCUGACCUGACACACCCUCUUGGUUCAACAGUCUUCACAGUGGAAGAGCCAGCAGUCUCAGAACCAAGAUAGUGUGUCAGCAACAGCAAAUCCAUAUGUUUACCUACGUUAUACUGUUUAGCAUGGAAACAUGGAAGGCAUUGAAUGUACAGUAUGUAAUGUUUAUCAUGCAAACAUGCUAUGUACAAUUCAGCAUUUAAUAUGUGCUAAAAUUCAAAUCGCUUAAAUACCAAUGUUUAACCUGCUAAUGUUUUCUCAAUGCACAGAAUUAGUCUAAGAAUAGAUCUUGUGAUAGAUGAAUAGAAACCAAGUCUGACAGGUCCCAUAAUGCACAAUGUAGGCCUUUUCUCUGGCAACAAUUUAAAUUCACAUAUUACAUUUGUGCAGAAAUAUAAAAUUAAACAUUGAAUCAAACAUAUUUAUCUCAUUUCAUUUAUCCAAUGAUUUAGUUUUCUGUCUG